rnacentral:lncRNA from 1 species
ACAAGAUGAUUCUAGGGUUUAAAUUUUGGUUCGACAGUUUUAAUUGUUAAAGCUUUUGAUAUGCAUGUUUAAAAUUUUUAAAAUUCUCAUUCUGCUGCAUGACUAGAACCUAAUAGAGACUUCAUAUAAUUUUCUUCCACCAUCCAGCAUCCUCCUUUGAUUUACCUUCGACAUCGAAAAGGUCCGAGGCGAUCGAAGAAGGAGAUCAAAUCAGAUCCACCAUC